CCAAAUGUACCAAAUCCAAUAAUGUUGUCGAUAUGAUGCUAAUGUGAAAAGUACAACCAUAUAUCUUUAUUUGGGUCCGUUCCAAUUGUUUUUAUGUUGUUCUUUCUUUAGUCUCUUGGGGUUAUGAGAUAGAAAGGGGAAUAGGAUUUUUUUCCUUUCAGUGACUUGGACAAAACAAGUUUUAUCAUAAACUGGAAACAAGGGGAUAGUAUUGAGAGAGAAUAGAAAGGAAUCCUGUUUUCUUCGUGACAUAAAAAGAAAAAAUGGGAAACUCCACUUUUGAGAGAAAAACAAGAAUUGAGAGAAAAUCUUUGAGCAUGGAGAUUGAGGGUUUGAGAAAAAAAAGAAUGUGAAAAACAUGGGUUCUUUGUUGUUCAUCUUGAACAUUAAAUGGGAAAGAAUCAAAAGGUUCUCUAUUAGUAACAGGAUUUGGUUUCAUCAACAAAAAACAAAAUAACAGGAUUUGGAUUUUUAAUUGAUAGUGAAGCUACUCUCUCCCGAGGAAGUUGGUCACAUUGACUGUACCGCAUAAACAUCUGUGUUUAUUUCCCUCUCUCAAUCUUGCAUUCAAUUUUAGUGUUUAUUCUUGCUGCUGCAAUUUGAUUUCUGUGAUACUGUUAUUUCCUGCUGCUACUGUUCUGUUCUGCGUUUCACUAUUGUGUUUUCUUGUGUUAAGUUUUUCUGUCAACUGCGCCACUGCUGCUUCGUAAUUUUCUGGUUGUGUGUUUCUGCAUAAUCUGCCAUUGCAGCACAUAUUUUCUGCCUCUGGAUUAGUUUCUGGUUUAAUGCAAUUACUGCAUAAUUUGAUUUCUAUUUUGCAUGUUUCUU
rnacentral:lncRNA from 1 species